GGAAGAAACAGGCGAGAGGGAGAUAAGUGCCAGCAGCACCCUUGCCAGGUUGGGCGAGCGUCAUGGCCAUGGGCCCAACGGUCAUUACUAUUGAGGAGGUGCGGGCGCUAGAGAGCAAGGAGGAGCAGGAGGAGUCCAUCUUGGCCCUGCUGGGAAUCGUUGGCACCUUCCUUAACCUCUUCGUCAUUGUCUUUGUUUACAUCUACACCGUUGUGUGAGCCAAGCCAGAGUGGGAGUGAUCCCCCAAACGACAAGGCACAAACCAAGCUUCCAUCUAACCCCAACAAACGUAUACUGGAUUGUACAUGCCAAGCUCCUCCUCCCUCUAACUAGGUAUUAGUUAUAAAAAAGGUGCAAACGACAAGAUAUUAAAACAGGAGGGGGGAGCAGUUUCCUCACACAGAGAUUGAGGGUGGACAGUUCCGUGGGAGGUGGCGUCUCACAGCCAUGAACCAGAGAGAUAAUAGUGAGCUGGUGGAGACAUCAGGACCAUGGCUGUGCUGGAUCCAGGAGGGGGCGAUAGACAGGGUUGGGCUGCAGGCCAGCACAGCCUGGGGGGAACUAACUUCACCUUGGACUCAUUAGAAUGAGGGAAACGGACAGUGUUACCGACCAAUCUCCUUUGUCAAGUGGAUAAAAAAAACAGACAAAGGGAUAUUGACGUCACUGGUCCGGAUGGUUUCAGGGCCAUGGCGUGGCGCUGUAAUGUACUGUGCUGCUUGCCGUCAGAUAGGCUAUACACACACACCAAAGUGUUAGUCACCGCUUCUCAUGAUAUGGAGACAUCACAACAGAGAGAUACACCAUCUCUGUCUAUUUCGUCUCCACAAGAACUGAUCUGCAAAGAGAGCAGAAGGAGUGGAAAUGACAAUUUCACAUUUAAAUUCAAAUCGACCACCUGGAGAUCUGCAAUAAAAAGGCAAGUGGAGAGAGAGGUAUUUUUUUUAUAAAAAGGAGAGUCUGCUGUGGUGAUUAAAUCAUCCGCAGGGGUGGAAAGUAACUUGUGGGCACUGGCAAAAAGCUCCAUUCUGCAUUUACUAAUACAUAAGGCCAGACUUAAUCUUCUCUCUCUUUCUGCAUCUCUUUCCACGUUCUGUUCGGUUAUUUUGAUGUAGGCUAUUUGUUCAUGUUGAUUUCAGGGUAGUGUCAGCGAUCCAGUUUCUGUAUAAAGAUCUAAGCUUUUAUAAACACAUGAAUAAACUAAACUCUAGAUGUACUGUGCAAUAGGGAACAUUUUUACAAUAAAAUGAGAAUAUAUGAAUUAGA
rnacentral:lncRNA from 1 species